CGGUUGAUCCUGCCGGAUCCGACUGCUAUCCGGGUAAGACUAAGCCAUGCCAGUUGAAUGGAAUCGCAGAUUCCAUGGCAUACUGCUCAGUAACAAGUGAUCAACUUACCCUGCAGUGGAGUAUAACCUCGGGAAACUGAGGCUAAUCCCCCAUAGUUGGAGCGUCCUGGAAUGGUGCUCCAUCGAAAGAUACAGCGUUAUGUCGCUGAUUCGCUGCAGGAUAGGAUCGCUCUCGAUUACGGUUGUUGGUGAGGUAAUGGCUCACCAAGCCUAUGAUCGAUAAGGGCCGUGAGAGCGGGAGCCCUGAGAUGGAUACUGAGACAAUGAUCCAGGCCUUACGAGGCGCAGCAGGCGCGAAACCUUUACAAUGCACGCAAGUGCGAUAAGGUUACCCGGAGUGCCGAGAGAAAAACUGUCGGCUGUUAUAGGUGUGUAAACUACCCUAUGAGAAAGGAGAGGGCAAGGCUGGUGCCAGCCGCCGCGGUAAAACCAGCUCUUCAAGUGGUCGGGACUUUUAUUGGGCUUAAAGUGUCCGUAGCCGGUUUGAUAAGUUCCUGGUAAAAUCUGGCAGCUUAACUGUCAGUUCGCUAGGAAUACUGUCUUACUAGAGGGUGGGAGAGGUCUGAGGUACUCCAGGGGUAGCGGUGAAAUGNGAUAAUCCUUGGGGGACCACCAGUGGCGAAGGNGUCANACUGGAACACGCCUGACGGUGAGGGACGAAAGCCAGGGGAGCGAACGGGAUUAGAUACCCCGGUAGUCCUGGCUGUAAACNAUGCGUGCUAGGUGUUGGUAGGGCUUNNNCUGUAUCANUGCCAAAGGGAAACUAU
rnacentral:rRNA from 1 species